rnacentral:pre_miRNA from 1 species
AUAAUACUCCCUCCGUCUGGAAUUACUUGUCAUCAAAAUGGAUGUGUCUAGAACUAAAAUAAAUCUAGAUACAUCAAUUUCAAUGACAAGUAUUUUCGAACAGAGGGAGUAGUAG